UUCAACUUGAGAGUUUGAUCCUGGCUCAGAGCGAACGCUGGCGGCAGGCUUAACACAUGCAAGUCGAGCGGGCAUCCUCGUGGUGUCAGCGGCAGACGGGUGAGUAACACGUGGGAACGUGCCCUUCGGUUCGGAAUAACUCAGGGAAACUUGAGCUAAUAC
rnacentral:rRNA from 1 species